ACAACCUUCUUAACUGCAUAGCUCACAUUGAUAACGUUGUGCGGUACUCUAGCUGGUUGAUGUAUCCAAAAUAUGGGAACGUGAAUGCAAAAGGAUAUGGUGUACUUAUUAUAUCUCCAACAUGAAGAGUAAGAACCAUACUAAUCCUAACAUUAUACGUCAUAUUGCAUUAUAGAUGCGGUGUUGUGUACCUUAAUAAUUUCUUAUUAAAUAGCGGUGGGAGAGCCCGUAUUUAUCUGUAGUACAAAAUUGCCGCCAGUGCUCUUCCGUGAUAUUUUUCAUCUAAAGCAUAGAGUAGUGUAUAAAUAUGAGUUUGUUCGAAAAGCUUAUGUUGUUAUCUCAGAUUCGAUUGUUGCAAGGCAUGUCCUCGGAGAAAACACUUUCAGUGACAAGGGAGUUCUUGCUGAGAUCCUCCAGCAGAUUAUGGGAAAAGGGUUGAUACCAGUAGACCUAGAUGUCUGGAAGUUAAGAAGAAGAGCUAAAUCUCAUGGGUCCCUGCAUUAUCUAGAGGCUAUGAUCAAAAUAUUUAGUGCCUGUUCAGAGAAAAUAAUACUCAAGUCUGAGAAACUCUUACGAGAAUAAGAAGUCUCAAGCGGAGGGGACACAAUCAAGUUGGAUCUUGAUGCAGAAUUCUAGAGUCUCUUCACAUUAUAGGGCUUACGCCGCUUACCGUAUUCAACUACGACUUUUGUUCUGUCACAAGGAGUCCCAUGUCAUUAAUUUUUUUUUAUUUUUGAGUAUACUCUUCACCAAUUUUAUAUACUAAGCUGAUUAAUUCUUCAAUUUCUCUGUUACAUCAGAUGCGGUUUAUGAAAUUCUUUUUUAGGGCAGAGCAUCCGUCU